AGAUGUUCUUCAAGUCAAAGGAACAUCGAAUUGUCAGAGCAUAGAAAGACACCAUUGAGAUCAUUGAAUCUAUACAAGUUCCUGAUAUUCUACCCCAAAGGAUGCAGAAAGACAGAGCAUAUGCUGGAGUGAUGUGUAAGGGACCAGAUACUGGCAGCAGAGGUGUAAAAGGGAAAGGAAGGCCAUGCUCUCACACACCCUCACACCGACACUGAGGGAGGCCUAUGACUGACAUCACUGUUCAGGACUCACCCGUUGUAUAUGGAGGUAGCUGACAGGUAACUCUACUCAAUAGGCAAACUACUUGAAAUAAAUGCAGUUAAGCUUCCUAGGUAAUGUAAAUAUCAGGAAGUUUCCAAAUUCAGGCUACCCUCAAGGCACAAAGGAAGGGCCUCUGCGAAGCACUGAGAAGAAGGGGCAGAAAAGCUCAGUUGAGCCACUUUCACUGAGAGAUGAUGUUGAGCAGUUUGUGUACACGGUCUCGAAAUCAGUGACAUUUCCUCCUCACUGACAAUCAAGACUGAUGCACCUCAAGGAUGCAUUCUCUACUCCCUCUACAGCUCGAAUGUGAUCUAUAAAUUUGCCGAUGACCCAGCUAUUGUUGGCAGAAUAUCAGAUGGUGCGAGGAAGCUUUCAGGAGUGAGGUAGAUCAGCUGGCUGAGAGGUAUCGCAACAGCAACCUUGCACUCAGCAUCAGUAAGACCAAGGAAUAGAUUGUGGACUUCAGGAAGGGGAAGUUGUAGGACCACACACCAAUCUUCAUCGAAGGAUCAACAGUGGAAAGUGUGAGCUGGCUGUCAACAUCUCUGUAGGUCUAUCCUGAGCCCAACUUAUUGAUACAAUUACAAAGAAGGCAGGACAGCAACUGUAUAUUUCAUUAGGAGUUUGACGGGUCUUGGUAUGUCACAAAAGUCUCUCACAAGUUUCUACAGACGUAUCAUGGAGAGCAUUCUAACUGGUUGCAUCAUUGUUUGGUAUGGAGGGGCCACAGCAGAUGACUGCAAAGAGCUGCUGGAAGUUAUGAACUCAGCCAGAUCCAUCAUGGACACUAGCCUUCCCAGCAUCAACAUCUUCAAAAGGUAAUGCUUCAAAAAAAUGGUAUCCAUUAUUAAGGACUCACAUCACCCAGGACAUGCCCUCUUCUCAUUGCUACCAUCAAGGAGGAGGUACAGGAGCCUGAAAACACAAACUCUAUGUUCUAAUGGCAGCUUCUUCCUCUCAGCUAUCAGAUUUCAGAAUGGACAAUGAACCCAUGAACACCACCUCAGUAUUUUUAUUCUUUUUCUGCUCUUUUUUAGCAUGAAUUACAUCAUUUAUUUUUUAAUGUACAGUGGAUUCUGGUUAAUUGGACCAUCGGUUAAAUGGGAUAGGAGUUUGUUUGGAACAACUUUUAAAGAACAAAAACUAAAUCAAGUAAUCAGCCAGAUUCCCUUCAUUUAUUUGAGAUGCUAUGCCACUUAACUGGGGCAGGAGACAGGUUCCGACUAGCGUCAGUCGUGUGUACUUGUGUGGCCUUGAGCCACCACACCAUGCUAAUAGCAUCAUUUGUGUGUGUUUGUGUUCAAAAAGUAGCGAUUUUUGUCACUGACAAUUGGAGUGAAAUAAGCAGUAAGACAAUUCAGAACUGUUCUGCCCAGAAGUGAAAACAAAACAAUUUCACUACUUUAACAAGUUAUAUGAAUUGCAAAGGUAUUAACAAUCAUCUUUAGUGUUAUAGUGAAAAUGGAGAUUUGGAGGAUGAAUUAUCUAAAGAUUAUAUGAAGGCAGUCCAUUAUCUGCACUAGGUGUCUGCAAUGAUUUUGUUCAUUUACAGUCAUUCAAAAGAACAGCAGAUGAAUUUCAUCAUCAAUAAUUAUUAUGAAUUAAUACAGUUUUAUGGUACUGUAGAGGUAUUGGUAGUUCUAAUUUGUUCUGUAUUUCAUUUAAAUACAUCAAUUGUUACUCAGUUAACCAGUAGUUUGUCUUUUUGAUAUCCUUUUACCUAUUUCAAUGAAACUUCGGCUAAUCGAAGCAGCCACUUAUUUAGGCCAAAAUGUACCUGUCCUGAUGUGUCCCAAUUAACUGGAAUUCACUGUAUUUCUUAUUCCAAUUUGUAGUUGUUUUAUUAUUAUUAUUAUGUAUGGCAUUGUACUGCUGCUGCAAAACAACAAAUUUCACGACACAUGCCAGUGAUA